AAACUACUCCCUCUGUCCCAAAUUUCUUGUCUUAGAUUUGUCUAGAUACGGAUGUAUCUAAUACUAAAAUGUGACUUGAUACAUCCGUAUCUAGACAAAUCUAAGACAAGAAUUUUGGGACAGAGGGAGUACUUU
rnacentral:pre_miRNA from 1 species